GUGGAGCCUGCUCUUGUUGCACCAGUGAAGACCCAGGACUGCAGUCCCUGGUCCCUACAGCAUUUGAAUGCCUUUCUCACAUGGCUCAUUCUUCCUCUCAUCGAGGUUGCCUAAACCUGGGCUGCUUCUCUCAGUGAUUUCCUAAUAAAAGACUGCUUUCUACUCCAUUUGUUUGGUUCCUAUGACUUCUAUGCUCCUGGAAGCUCCUGGAGAAAUCAAGUACAUAGCAAGAAUUCCAGGAUAAUAGAAUGAUUUGAACCAAAGUGGAGAAUCAAAGAUAAUGCAAUUUGGGGAGAAGAUAAGAACAAUUAAACGCAUUUCCCUUCUGGGGGAAGAUCUCAAAUAUGACCAGAGUUGUGCUUUCGAUGGCUUGUAAUUUGGAAACUGUGUUUAACAAGUUGUUUCCUGUCCAUUCUUCUACG